rnacentral:rRNA from 1 species
UGGGGAAUUUUGGACAAUGGGGGAAACCCUGAUCCAGCCAUCCCGCGUGUGCGAUGAAGGCCUUCGGGUUGUAAAGCACUUUUGGCAGGAAAGAAACGUCAUGGGUUAAUACCCCGUGAAACUGACGGUACCUGCAGAAUAAGCACCGGCUAGCUACGUGCCAGCAGCCGCGGUAAUACGUAGGGUGCAAGCGUUAAUCGGAAUUACUGGGCGUAAAGCGUGCGCAGGCGGUUCGGAAAGGAAGAUGUGAAAUCCCAGAGCUCAACUUUGGAACUGCAUUUUUAACUACCGGGCUAGAGUGUGUCAGAGGGAGGUGGAAUUCCGCGUGUAGCAGUGAAAUGCGUAGAUAUGCGGAGGAACACCGAUGGCGAAGGCAGCCUCCUGGGAUAACACUGACGCUCAUGCACGAAAGCGUGGGGAGCAAACAGG